AGCUCCAAUAGCGUAUAUUAAAGUUGUUGCAGUUAAAAAGCUCGUAGUUGAAUUUGUGAUGUGUCCAGUCGGCCUUUGCUCUUUGAGUGAUUGUGCUGUUAUUGGUCCGUCAUGUUUGGGUGGAAUCUGUGUGGCAUUAGGUUGUCGUGCAGGGGAUGCCCAUCGUUUACUGUGAAAAAAUUAGAGUGUUCAAAGCAGGCUUAUGCCGUUGAAUAUAUUAGCAUGGAAUAAUGAUAUAGGACCUUGGUACUAUUUUGUUGGUUUGCGCACUAAGGUAAUGAUGAAUAGGGACAGUUGGGGGUAUUUGUAUUCCAUUGUCAGAGGUGAAAUUCUUGGAUUUUUGGAAGACAAACUACUGCGAAAGCAUUUACCAAGGAUGUUUUCAUUAAUCAAGAACGAA
rnacentral:rRNA from 1 species